rnacentral:rRNA from 1 species
GAUGAACGCUGGCGGCGUGCCUAAUACAUGCCAGUCGAGCGAACAGAUGAGGAGCUUGCUCCUCUGACGUUAGCGGCGGACGGGUGAGUAACACGUGGAUAACCUACCUAUAAGACUGGGAUAACUUCGGGAAACCGGAGCUAAUACCGGAUAAUAUAUUGAACCGCAUGGUUCAAUAGUGAAAGACGGUUUUGCUGUCACUUAUAGAUGGAUCCGCGCCGCAUUAGCUAGUUGGUAAGGUAACGGCUUACCAAGGCAACGAGGCGUAGCCGACCGGAGAGGGUGGUCGGCCACACGGGAGCUGAGACACCGUCCAGACGACUACGGGAGGCAGCAGUAGGGAAUCUGACGCAAUGGGCGAAAGCCUGACGGAGCAACGCCGCGUGAGUGAUGAAGGUCUUCGGAUCGGAAAACUCUGUUAUUAGGGAAGAACAAAUGUGUAAGUAACUAUGCACGUCGUGACGGUACCUAAUCAGAAAGCCACGGCUAACUACGUG